CCUGACUGCUAUCGGAUUGAUACUAAGCCAUGCGAGUCAUUGUAGUAAUACAAGGCAGACGGCUCAGUAACGCGUAGUCAACCUACCCUAUGGACGGGAAUAACCUCGGGAAACUGAGAAUAAUGCCCGAUAGAACAUUAUACCUGGAAUGGUUUAUGUUCCAAAUGAUUUAUCGCCAUAGGAUGGGACUGCGGCCUAUCAGUUUGUUGGUGAGGUAAUGGCCCACCAAGACUAUUACAGGUACGGGCUCUGAGAGGAGUGGCCCGGAGAUGGGUACUGAGACACGGACCCAGGCCCUAUGGGGCGCAGCAGGCGAGAAAACUUUGCAAUGUGCGAAAGCACGACAAGGUUAAUCCGAGUGGUUUCUGCUAAAGGAACCUUUUGUCAGUCCUAAAAACACCGAUGAAUAAGGGGUGGGCAAGUUCUGGUGUCAGCCGCCGCGGUAAAACCAGCACCUCAAGUUGUCAGGAUGAUUAUUGGGCCUAAAGCAUCCGUAGCCGGCUCUGUUAGUUUUCGGUUAAAUCUGUACGCUUAACGUACAGGCUGCCGGGAAUACUGCAGAACUAGGGAGUGGGAGAGGUAGACGGUACUCGGUAGGAAGGGGUAAAAUCCUUUGAUCUAUUGAUGACCACCUGUGGCGAAGGCGGUCUACCAGAACACGUCCGACGGUGAGGGAUGAAAGCUGGGGGAGCAAACCGGAUUAGAUACCCGGGUAGUCCCAGCUGUAAACUAUGCAAACUCAGUGAUGCAUUGGCUUGUGGCCAAUGCAGUGCUGCAGGGAAGCCGUUAAGUUUGCCGCCUGGGAAGUACGUACGCAAGUAUGAAACUUAAAGGAAUUGGCGGGGGAGCACCACAAGGGGUGAAGCCUGCGGUUC
rnacentral:rRNA from 1 species